UGUUUUCCAUAAACAAUUAUUUUUUUUCUCUUAUUUUGUUUCUGUCGGUGUACAGAUCUAUCUCUAUCUCUCUCUUUCUUAUCUUCUUUCAUGUUUUUGUCGAUGUUCUUGUAGAGAACAGGUCAAAAUCGUGAAUCAAAAAUCAAAAUAUACAAUUCUUUUGCUUAAUUUUCAACCGGGUGAAGGAACAUGGUUAAUCUAAGAUUAGUCAUCUGCAUGAGUAGAUCGGGCUUCAAUAAUCGUCUUAACCAUAAGAAAAGUCAAAACGCAGGCCAUUGAAGGACGCCUUCAACCUCGACGAAGACAUCUACAAAGAACGGUGAAUGGAUUUUGUAGCUGGGCUUUUGGUUCAAAACUCUGUCAAGUUCUUACUGAUUUACUGCCAGUUUCUCCAUACCUUGGUUACAACUCAGUGAAAGAUUUUUUCCAAACCAUUCAAAUGAGACCUAAUCCCCAAUGCUCUAAUGCAGCUUGUUUAGAACGGCAGAAAAAGUACAUGCUUGCGAAACCUGUAAGGGGCGUUUCUGCUAAAGCUAAGAUGGAAGCCGAAGCAGAGUGCCUACAGCUAUAGAUGAUGGUUGAUAACAGGAUUUUGCUAAGAUCCUAUUCAAAUGUUGAAGUAUAAAGGAUGUCAAUCCAAUUCUAAGAGAAUGCGAAGCACUAGGAAUGCAAGACCAUGCUUAAGCUAAAUGCUAUCAAGAUGAGAUGAGAGAUUAUACUAAAAUAGGAAUAAAAUGCAACAAAACAAAAUACUUUCUUUGAUUAUGAGAAUGAGAGGACUCAUGGGAUAAGGGAAUAUGACUUUGGGUGAUCAAACUCAAACUAAGGUGCUAACUUACAAUCAAUCUAUCUACCUUAGGCCUAGACACAAGACUAAGCAAACUUUAUCUCUAAAUGAAUGCUCAUUUGCUUCCAAAACUCAAGCAUCUAAUCUCUUAGGUUGAAUGUUUAGGAAGCAAUCAUUAACAAUAAGCCUAAUAGCCAUCUUAACACCUUUAACAACAAAUCUCUUUGGUAGAGUAUGUUAAAAGCUUAGGAGAGUUGGUUCAGACAUUUCAUCGAACACCUUGUGGGUGGGAAAUGUCUAGAACUCAACUUUAAGGAGGCCAACCCUAAAGAAGCAUUAAAAUUACUCUACUAGCAAGGAAUAAGAAGGAUCUAUACCUAAACACCUUAGAUCAAGCCUAAUCACCCAUGAUCUCCCUAACCCAUGAAUCCAAAAGUGGAUCUACUCACUAAUCACCAUGAUUACUCUUGAACCCAUGAGGUUUCCAAGCUUAAUCAUGUUUAAGAAAGAUCAAUAAGAAAUGAAAUUAUAAACACUCAAGAACACAAGAACAAAGGGGAAGAACUUUCACCCAAAAGAGGUUUUGUGAUUCUUAAGAGAAAAUAAAAUAAUCUCUCCAAAAUGGAGAUUACAAGUAUUUAUACUUAGGUUUAGGGUAAAGAGAGACACAUAUGAUAAAAGACUAGAAUGCCCUUUGUAUAGGGCUAAUUAGAACUUCAAAAUAGUGUUUAAAAUGACCCAAGGUCGAAUUGGGUCGAACCGGACCGGUUUGAGAAAACCAGCCUCGACCACACUCUCUUCUCUUCACGCCCGGCAUGGUGAUCCCGGUCCUGCAUCCCGGUCCUGCCUCACGCCCGGCUUGCUCUUCACGGUCCUCCAUCCCGGUCCAUGGCUUCACGCCUGGGGUGUACUUCCCGGUCCUCACAAUCCGGUCCUGUCUCUUCACGCCCGGGGUGUACUUCCCGGUCCUCACAAUCCGGUCCUGUCUCUUCACGCCCGGCAUGGUGACCCCGGUCUCGACAUUCCGGUCUAGUCGAGUCAAGAGAGUACUUGGUUUGCUGAGCUUCAUUCUUCACCUCCUUUGGAUCUUUGAGCUCUUAAACACUUCACAUCAUCACAUAGUAUGCUCCAACACCUGAUAGGGACAUAUGAAUGCAAUAUGGAUCCUAAAGACACUAAAAUCUAAGCUACAUGAUCAAAAUGCAUAAGAUAUGAAAGCUAAAAACAUGUAAAUAUGCAAGAUAUCAAUGGUCCACUCUAUGAUUUAAAUGAAUGGAACAUAAGGUAACAACUCAAGUGAAGUAGUUAAAAAUCGUAUCUGAGUCCUUUUAAAUUGCAACUUGGAACCUGAUAGGUGUUUUAUGUCUUAUUACAAGUGUGGUUGAUGAUGAAAAUGAGAAUGAUACAGACUACGCAGGUGAUAUGUGGACAUCAUCUACCUAUACAGAUGGAUUUAAGGACCGAGUGACAGUAUUACAGACAGAGGGACAUGAGAGAGAAGCUCAAGAUUUUUCAUGUUUGAACAUAGAGAUGAGCAAAGGGAAGCCACUAUCAUCACUCAAUAGUAAUUAAAUGUAGGUGUUCUCAGGUGUUUAUGCUUGUGUGAAAAAUUUUAUUUUUCUUUUAAACAAUCAUCAUGUUAUUCUUUAAUUGUUUUUAAUUUUAUUACAUGAUAUUUUCAUCUCCGAUGAUUGCCGGAGUCGAGCUGUAUGGGAAGACAACAAAAGAAACUGGAAAGCAGCUGAAAAUAUGACAGAGCUAUGUAAAGGACCUGACAACAGAAGGUCGACGCUGAAAGAGCUGCAUGAGAAGAUAACAGUCUGCAGGGAACAACAGAAUCAUAACAAACAGCAAGAAUAUGGAACGUAAGGAAAUGUCUUCAAAACAGACUUCAUUUGAACUACUCUGCAAUUCAUUGAUGGAUGGUGUUGUAUUUUCGCUUGCAGGGAUGAAGAUGAAGGAGUGGGAAGAAGAAUGAGAUUAUGCGUGAGUGGUAUUGUAAGCUAAAAGGGUUUCACAAUAGAGUAAAAAGAGUGAAGGAUAAGACAGACGACAGUGUUGGUGAGAGAGAUGGAAAAAGAGACUAUUUCGCCAUUGAUUCAUCUAUUAUUUACGCAUGUAUGUUCUUUAUAAACUGAAUCAUAGAAGUUAAGUUAUCGAUAGGCUAAAUAAGUGGGAUUGUUAGGAAUUAUUAGUGUUGCACUUGGUUAGUAAUCGACAUAUAUGGAUUAGUUAGGUGGAAUAUUAAAAAUAAUUGUCUGAAUUAUUUUAAGCAUAUGGAAUAUUGUACAUUGCAUCUAAUAUUCAGCAGUAUAAAUGCAAGUGGCAUUAAAAAACCAAAGCUUAUUAUUAAAUAUAGGAAAUUGAAUUAAAACAAAUAACAAUUAAAAAACAUAAAAAAACUUAAAUUUAAAGUACGAUAAAAACCAAAGCAAAACAACAACUUCAAACAUAACGAUUUCAACCAAGCUUAACCACUCUUGUUCUUCUCUUGUUUGAUUAUCUUGCUGCACUGUUUCUUGGAAUCAGAUGAUAGGUCCUGUAGGUCAGAUAGAUCCUCCUUGCGUUUUGUUAUAGGAGUUGGACAGUCAUCUGAUGAAACUUGAUCCAACAUCAUAACCUAAAUCCAUUUAAAAUAAAUACAGUCAUUUUUAUAAAUUAGAAACCAAUAUGAACAUAAGGUGUAAAGAUAAAAGUUCAUACAAAAAAAAACUUACAGAUCCAGAUGACAUUGUAGAAGAAGUUGUCAACAUAUCAGAAGUUGAUAGAGACUGAGAAUCGGUAGUAUAAACUUUAUCUCCAGAACAAACUUCUAAAACAAUAAAAGUCUCUGAUCCAUUUGUGACAUUGUCUGAGGUUAUGGAUACCCCAAAACAAAAAGACUUCCCCACCAAAGAUAGAACAGGUUCUGGAAGAAUCUCAGGAUCUUCAAUCUGAUAUAUUUUAGGAAUAAAUGUGGUUCAAUAUAAAUUGCUCAACGAAAAUAAUUAAGUGCAAAGAUUAAAUUACAAAAAAAAGAUAUACCUCCUCAUAAGAGCCAUCCCAUAAAUCUUCAGCAUCAACUCCAACAAUGGACUUACCAACAGAGCCUAGCAACAUUGCAGUGCAUGUUCCAGAGUCAUCUUUUACAACCAAGUGUAGCUUGUAUCUUUUUUUAAAAAAAUUACAGGAUAUAUAUAAGAACAAUAUUUUGUAAAAAUAUGAGUUAAACAAAUUGUUUAAGUAAAUAUCAUUAACUUACUUGGGUCCCACAUUAGUGAUAUUAGAACGACAAAUUUCACAACGAAACAAAGGCUUAUCUUUUUUGUCAUCCUUGCAUAAUCAACAUUGGGAAGCUUAUUGACACGCUUUUGGUGACGGUUACAACCAAAAUAGAACCAAGCCCAAUCGGUAUCUAUUGCUUCAAUAGUACACACGAUUUUGCAAUACUCCACCUAAACAAUUUUCAAAAUUAAAAUCGAUUUUAGUUAAAUGUUUGUAAUCAUUAGGAAAAAAUACAAAAAGGCAAAAUAUACCUGAUUGGAGUCAACGAUUUCUGAAAUUGUUUUGAUCUCAGCAUCAUUCCAGUCAUAUAAAAUUCGUUUACCAUCCUUUUUUCCAGUGGAUUUA